rnacentral:snoRNA from 1 species
AAAUUGGAGGAUGAAGAGCUUGUCUCUUUCAUCCUUGCUGGACUUGGUGAUGACUUCGAGUCCAUUGUCACCGCCAUGGCAUCCCGCGUGGAACCGAUCUCCGUCAACGAGCUGUACGCUCAGCUCAUCGCCUUCGAGC